UCAGGCUGUUCUGUGCCAAAGGUGGAGCUCUUGGACAAAGACUGAAAACCAUUGUGGAACUAAUGGAGGUACAAUACUUAUAAAAUUAAAGAUAGCUUAAUUUAUGAGAUUCCUAAGCACAUUGUUUUUACACCUCAAGAUCGCAAAAACUAGAAAAAAAUAUGCAUCCAGAUAAUAUGCCUUAGAUUCAGUUGAAGUCUAUUUGUGGGUGUUUUAAAGAAUCAAAGGGGUAUUAAAGGUAAGUGUAUUGAAAGCACUAUUUGUAUUUCAUCAGUACUCCGUCUUAACAGAGUUAUAGCACUCAUAAGAGUCUAUAUGUAGGAAUGAAAACGGCAUGAAUGAAGGGAGGGAGAAAGGGGGAUUUAGCCAUGACCUUAAGAAUUCACUCAAUGGAUUUUAGCUCUUUUGUGAAGCAGGUUAAGUAAGCACCGUCCAAAUUCAAAAGCGCCAUGAUCAGAAUCAUAAUAAUCAUACCCAAAGUGUGCAGAAAGUGUUGUGUUUACAUUUACAUCUUCAGUGUAUUUUGUUUUCCUUUGUUUUUAUGAUUGGCUUAUAAUUUGUUACUUUUCUUGCCAGGCAUCUUCACAUUCUUCUGUUGAGAGGACCAGAGAGGUUGUCCUUCGGUGCCUGAUAGAAUAUCUUGGAGAAAACGGGGAACGUCUCAUCACAGAAUUCAAUGUAGGUGAACUUGAUUUGCAUUAACCCAAUCAAAAUAUUAAUGAUCCUAGAUUAGAUGCAGCUGUCAACAGAUUGACACAGCUGUGUCACAACUUUUUUGACCCAUUUUUUAUUUUUUUGCCCCACAGUUCACAGGAGAUUGUUAAUGUCAGACAUGUUCACAAACUUUCUGAAAAGUGCUUGGCUUUGGUGACAGGAAGCACCUGAUAGGAGGGAGACCAGACAAGACAUGAUGCAGAAAGCUGCAAUUGUGUGUUGUUAUUUAUUUAAAUUUUCAACACAAAUUUAACCCCCUUUAUUUUGAGACGUCACAGGAUGUUUUCUCUUGCUCUACUACUAGCUUUGCAGUGUUCAAAAUGUUGUAGCUCACAUCAAGCAUCAAGCAUUCAUUUAAUGCACAAUAUCAUGUAUGGUCAUCAGUUAACAUCCUGCCUCUGCUGUGAAUCCACUAUUGCGUGUUUGCAUUUGCACAAAAAGCUCAUCCAGAUUAUGCCUUGAAAAUUUCUGUUCUGUAGUGCAUGCUUCAAAUGGGUCUCUGAUUCUCUAAACUCUACUGGAGGUAUGAACACCAAUAAUUUACAAGACACUUGCUCAUUGAGAUGGUUAUUAUUACAAUGCAGCAUAAAGCCUCAUUACAAGUGAUGCAAAAUCUAUAGGCACAGAUCUAUGGAGAUGUGGAAAAGAGUAUUUUUUCAAAAGUAUUAGACCUCACAUCACAUGUUUUAGUGUAUGUGUAGCACAUAUUAAGAAAGCAGUACAGACCUGUAAGCCCAAUGGCAAAGGUCUGUAAGAUAAGAGAGCUUUUUACCGGCAUGGUAUGGCUCCACCUGUUCCCUCACAGACGAGGCUCUAUGCAAAUCAUUACAAAUUUUGUCCAUUUUUUUCCCAAAGUAGUGGUCUCUUCUUAGAUGUCAGUGGCAGGAGCUUUGAAUGGUUUGUUGAUGAGGACUAAAUUAUGUUAGGUGCAUGCUGUGGCAUUUACAGUUCUGUAAUAUUAAUCACUGGUGGAUAUUUGAACUUGAGGUUUUGCUUUUUUUCGACCUUUACGUUGAUACAGGUGGCAUCAAAACCCUUUAUCAAAAAUCUUUGUGAUACAGUUUUGUAAUUUAAUGUGUUACAAUCUUUUGAUAGUUUAAAUCCAUGACACUGAUGAUACAGUUUCAUGUUUUAGGACACAGAGGACUUGGAAGAACUCGAGCAGCUUGUGGUAGC
rnacentral:lncRNA from 1 species